UACGGAGGGUGCAAGCGUUAUCCGGAUUUACUGGGUUAAAGGGUGCGUAGGCGGGCCAUUAAGUCAGUGGUGAAAGCUCCGAGCUUAACUCGGAAACUGCCAUUGAUACUAUUGGUCUUGAAUUCGGUCGAGGUUGGCGGAAUGUGUCGUGUAGCGGUGAAAUGCUUAGAUAUGACACAGAACACCGAUUGCGAAGGCAGCUAGCUAGACCGACAUUGACGCUGAGGCACGAAAGCGUGGGGAUCAAACAGG
rnacentral:rRNA from 1 species